rnacentral:piRNA from 1 species
CAUCUACACUCCAUGUGGCGAUUACAUGA